AUUGAACGCUGGCUGCAGGCCUAACACAUGCAAGUCGAGCGGAUGAAGGGAGCUUGCUCCUGGAUUCAGCGGCGGACGGGUGAGUAAUGCCUAGGAAUCUGCCUGGUAGUGGGGGAUAACGUCCGGAAACGGGCGCUAAUACCGCAUACGUCCUGAGUGAGAAAGUGGGGGAUCUUCGGACCUCACGCUAUCAGAUGAGCCUAGGUCGGAUUAGCUAGUUGGUGGGGUAAAGGCCUACCAAGGCGACGAUCCGUAACUGGUCUGAGAGGAUGAUCAGUCACACUGGAACUGAGACACGGUCCAGACUCCUACGGGAGGCAGCAGUGGGGAAUAUUGGACAAUGGGCGAAAGCCUGAUCCAGCCAUGCCGCGUGUGUGAAGAAGGUCUUCGGAUUGUAAAGCACUUUAAGUUGGGAGGAAGGGCAGUAAGUUAAUACCUUGCUGUUUUGACGUUACCAACAGAAUAAGCACCGGCUAACUUCGUG
rnacentral:rRNA from 1 species